UACAGAGACUGCAAGCGUUAUUCGGAUUCACUGGGCGUAAAGGGUGCGCAGGCGGUUGGGUGUGUCAGAUGUGAAAUCCCCGAGGCUUAACCUCGGAACUGCGUCUGAAACUACUCGACUAGAGUACUGGAGAGGGAAACGGGAAAUUCACGGUGUAGCAGUGAAAUGCGUAGAUAUCGUGAGGAACACCAGAGGCGAAGGCGGUUCCUGGACAGUUACUGACGCUCAGGCACGAAGCAUGGGA
rnacentral:rRNA from 1 species